GCCUGGCAUGGUGACACAUGCCUGUAAUCUCUGCUUCCAGGAAGGCUGAGGCUAGUGGAUUACUUGAGCUGGAGAUAUCUGAGCUGCAUUAGGUUUGGAGCUGAUUGAGUGUCCACAUUAUAUCUGGCAUCAAUAUGGUAAGUGCCCUGGAGCAGAGGGCCAGCAAGUAAUCAAAAGACAGGCGAACUGGCCCAGGUUAGAAAUGGAGCAAAUUAAAGCUUGCAUGAUGAUCAGUAUUGGGGUUAGACAUAUGCGCGGCCACUGGGCUUCAAGCCUGGGUGAGAUAGGGAGACGCAGUCUCAA
rnacentral:SRP_RNA from 1 species